GACGACUACAAGUUUGAUCGACAUAUAGCUGCUCUAAUUGAGAUGGAAGAUGCUAAGAAGCUGUUCAAUGAUUGUUGGAAUACAAAGAAUGAUGCUUUGAAAGAGACUCUGUCUGCUACCUCUCAAUGUCAUGUAAUAUUUUUUUAUAAGUUUGUUUAUAUAUUAUAUAGAUGCUAUUAAUUACUUCAUGUUAUAUUUA